rnacentral:lncRNA from 1 species
UUUUUUUUUUGGUUAAAGGUAAUGUUUUUUUGUGCGUACAGUGCAGUGAUCAACCUAUGGAAAAACUAUUGUGGGUAAGUUUUUGGGCCAGGGAGCUGUAGCAAGCCAUUGAUGAGUCAGGUUUUCUUAAGAAAAACAUUGAUGAGUCUCCUCCAGCUAAUGAGAAUAUUCCAGAUCAGGCGUUGCCUGCUGGGAUCGUUUAUAUGCGACGCUGAUCCUCGUUGGCCUCAGCCGAUUGACGAGUACCGGAGUCACGGCGAUCACCGGUCAGGAUUCAGCAUCCUGUGAUGCGACACCGAGGGCUGAUGCCGCCGGCAGAUCGGCCUACAGGAGUGAUUUUUCACACUACGGAUCAGAUUUAUUCUGUUCGCGUAGAAUUUUGUCUCCGG